rnacentral:rRNA from 1 species
GUGCCAGCAGCCGCGGUAAUACGGAGGGUGCAAGCGUUAUCCGGAUUCAUUGGGUUUAAAGGGUGCGCAGGCGGAUACUUAAGUCAGUGGUGAAAUCCCGGGGCUCAACCCCGGAACUGCCAUUGAUACUGAAUAUCUGGAAUACGGUUGAAGUGGGCGGAAUGUAGCAUGUAGCGGUGAAAUGCAUAGAGAUGCUACAGAACACCGAUCGCGAAGGCAGCUCACUAAGCCGAUAUUGACGCUGAGGCGCGAAAGCGUGGGGAGCGAAACAGGAUUAGAUACCCUGGUAGUCCACGCCGUAAACGAUGAGGACUAGACGUUGGGGGGAUAAAACCCUUUAGUGUCGCAGCUAACGCGUGAAGUCCUCCGCCUGGGGAGUACGGCCGCAAGGUUGAAACUUAAAGGAAUUGGCGG